rnacentral:pre_miRNA from 1 species
AAGGGGAGCGCAGGAUCCUGGGCUGUGUCCCCAGGGCCCUGGGCUCCCGGGCCUGCACCACUGGAAUCACUCCCGGGCGCGCAGCCCCCU